ACACAUGCAAGUCGAGGGGCAGCAUAAUGGGUAGCAAUAUCUAUGGUGGCGACCGGCGCACGGGUGCGUAACGCGUAUGCAACCUACCUUUAACAGGGGGAUAACACUGAGAAAUUGGUACUAAUACCCCAUAAUAUCAUAGAAGGCAUCUUUUAUGGUUGAAAAUUCCGAUGGUUAGAGAUGGGCAUGCGUUGUAUUAGCUAGUUGGUGGGGUAACGGCUCACCAAGGCGACGAUACAUAGGGGGACUGAGAGGUUAACCCCCCACACUGGUACUGAGACACGGACCAGACUCCUACGGGAGGCAGCAGUGAGGAAUAUUGGUCAAUGGACGCAAGUCUGAACCAGCCAUGCCGCGUGCAGGAUGACGGCUCUAUGAGUUGUAAACUGCUUUUGUACGAGGGUAAACGCAGAUACGUGUAUCUGUCUGAAAGUAUCGUACGAAUAAGGAUCGGCUAACUCCGUGCCAGCAGCCGCGGUAAUACGGAGGAUUCAAGCGUUAUCCGGAUUUAUUGGGUUUAAAGGGUGCGUAGGCGGUUUGAUAAGUUAGAGGUGAAAUUUCGGGGCUCAACCCUGAACGUGCCUCUAAUACUGUUGAGCUAGAGAGUAGUUGCGGUAGGCGGAAUGUAUGGUGUAGCGGUGAAAUGCUUAGAGAUCAUACAGAACACCGAUUGCGAAGGCAGCUUACCAAACUAUAUCUGACGUUGAGGCACGAAAGCGUGGGGAGCAAACAGGAUUAGAUACCCUGGUAGUCCACGCAGUAAACGAUGAUAACUCGUUGUCGGCGAUACACAGUCGGUGACUAAGCGAAAGCGAUAAGUUAUCCACCUGGGG
rnacentral:rRNA from 1 species